GACGAACGCUGGCGGCGUGCUUAACACAUGCAAGUCGAACGGGCCUUGUCCCCUUUUUUUUGGGGGUGGGGUUAGUGGCGAACGGGUGAGUAACACGUGAGUAACCUGCCCCUCACUUCUGGAUAACCGCUUGAAAGGGUGGCUAAUACGGGGUGUUCUGGCCUGCUCGCAUGGGUGGGUUUGGAAAGAUUCGACCGGUUUUGGUUGUUUUGGUGGGGGUUGGGCUCGCGGCCUAUCAGCUUGUUGGUGGGGUGAUGGCCUGCCAAGGCUUUGACGGGUAGCCGGCCUGAGAGGGUGGGCGGUCACACUGGGACUGAGACACGGCCCAGACUCCUACGGGAGGCAGCAGUGGGGAAUAUUGCACGAUGGGCGCAAGCCUGAUGCAGCGACGCCGCGUGAGGGAUGGAGGCCUUCGGGUUGUGAACCUCUUUCGCCAGUGAAGAAGGUCCUGCUCUUUGUGGUGGGGUUGACGGUAGCUGGGUUAAUGAAGCGCCGGCUAACUACGUG
rnacentral:rRNA from 1 species